UUUGUACUCCCUCCGUUCAUUAAUUCUUGUCUCAAAUUUGCCCAAAAAUGGAUGCAUCUAUUCCUAAAAUUUGUCUAGAUACAUGUAAUAUUUCGACCAGAAUUAUGGAACGGAGGGAGUAGAAU
rfam:Brachypodium distachyon strain Bd21 chromosome 1, whole genome shotgun sequence.